GCGCAGCAGUCGAGAAUACUUUACAAUGUGCGAAAGCACGAUAAGGGAACUCUGAGUGCCUCCUAAGGAGGCUGUUCAGGUGUCUAAAAAGCACCUGGAGUAAGGGCUGGGUAAGACCGGUGCCAGCCGCCGCGGUAACACCGGCAGCCCAGGUGGUAGCCACUUUUAUUGGGUCUAAAGCGUCCGUAGCCGGUUGAGUAAGUUCCUUGGGAAAUUUGGCUGCUCAACAGUCAAGCUUCCAGGGAAUACUGCUCGACUUGGGGACUGGGGAGAGGUCAGAGGUACUCCAGGGGUAGGGGUGAAAACC
rnacentral:rRNA from 1 species